rnacentral:tRNA from 1 species
GGCGCCAUAGCCAAGUGGUAAGGCAGCGGACUGCAAAACCGCGAUUCCCCGGUUCUAAGCCGGGUGGCGCCUCCA